UCCCUCCUUUGCAGCCCCAUCCAGUGUGAGCCGGGAGGAGGGAGCCAGUCUGUGGUCGUCAGUAAAUGCUCCACACCUAACUGUGGUGAGUCUUAGGAGACAUCGUAAACACGCCGCCUAGGAGUCACUUGAAAGAACCCUUUGGAAAGGUCCAGAAAUACUUAUAUCUUAUGAAGACAUUAUUUUUUUAAAAGAGGUCCUGAAGCAUUAAGCAAAGUUUGAAAUAAUCAAAUGAGAAACACCCUCUUCCUUGGGGAGACACUGUGGUAACAGGAUUUCUUGGACAAAUUAAAGUAGAUCUAAAUGAAUCUCAACUACAGGGACUGGGCCACUUUUGGUUGGAGCGAUUCUGCCAAGGCUUGACAAAUGCUGUGGGAAAUCACAACUGAUGCGUCUGCCCAGUGCUUUGGAUUUUGUGUGCAUUAUCUUACUGAACCCUUGCGAUAAGUCUAUCCAGAUAAGGUAAGUAAGGCUUGGAGAGAUUAAGUAGCUUGCCAAGGAGAAGGUAAGUGACUAGAGGAAGGUCUGAGAUUCCAACUCAGAUCUGACUCCAGGCCCACCCCAGACUGCCUCCCCAGUGUUUCUCCCCUGACCAAGACAGUAUUAAAAUAUCAUAGAGUAAGGAGGUCUGUUGAAAUUACUUUUGGGAUCUAACAGGAAGAUUUGGGCUUCAGAGUAUUUUCAUACAAGGAAAUACUGGAGCUGGUUCCUGAGGUGAGAUCUAUGUGAUGUAUUUUUAAAAUACCUGUUUAAGUCAAAACUUUUUCAAUGCAAGCAAUUGCAACCACUUUAUUGGCUGAGCGGACAUGCACGGGAUAGACUAGCUACCCUACUUUCAGGUGUGCCUCCAUCCAAGCACUCUGCUGAUGCCAUCAGGAAUAUUGCUCUCUCUGUUUAUGAGCUUUCCCUCUCUGUUUAUUACCUUCCCCUCUCUGUUGGCUUCUUUUUCACUCAGGAUUUACCUUCCUGGUGGCAAUGUUACUACUAGAGUCUCUAAUCUUAUAUCUUAAUAGUCACAUCCCCAAAGGAUAAAAGGCAUCUCUUUCCCCAUUGUUCCAGCAAACAUCCCGGAUGGCAUCUCAUUGAUCUGGAAUUACGUGCCCAUCCCUGAACCAAACCUUGUGGCCGGGGUGAUGGAACCCUCUAAUUGCCAGACUUGGGUUAGGUGACACCCCCCACUGCCCUAAAAUAAAGCUGAUGCACAUGGAUUGAGGGAGGCUCCGGUGGCUCUCCAAAGGAAACAUUAGGUUGCUGUUACCAGAAGAAGGAGGAAUGGAUGCUGUUUAGGCAGAAAGGAACUAUGCCCACUACCACACUGUUCACUCAUAGAAUAUGGGUCUUGCACAGAAGUGAGAAGACUUGGACUCCACUGCAGACUAGCUGAGGAAUCUGCACAAAUCCCUUAACUCCUCAGCUCUCCCAUUUGUAACAACAUCUAAUACCUAUGUAUGGCCUGAUUUAUUUACUAAAAUAACCCAGAGCUAUAAAUUCUUUUGUUAAUCUGUAACUUUGAUUUUACAGUUCAGGUAAUUGAAGUACGGACAAGCAAAUCACCUGCCCAAAGGUCACACAGGUGGAAAGUGGUGGAGCCAGGAUUUGAACUCAGGCAGACUGACUCCUAAGUCCACUCAUAACCACUAGGCUGUAAUGCCAUUCACCGUUAAAAUGAUAAGACUGGACAAGAUAAUUGCUAAGGUCCCCCCCACCCCUUUUUUUCCUCAGUGUUUGGAGAAAGAGGAGGAGAAGAAGAAGGAGAAGGAAGAAAAGGAGAAUUAAUAAUAGAAUGGAAACCCUUGAAAGCCCCAUUUUACAAAUGCUAAUUUGGAAGGUUAAUGUAUUAAUAGACCUGGUCUCUUGGUUUUAUGCAUUUUUAUCCUGAGUGUAUGUUCUCUGCAUCCGUAACAAGAAAACGGCUGCUCUGUGAUUUCUAAAUGAAUUUUGAGUUUACCUUUUAUAAUAGCCAGCACACCAAGGUCUUUACUCACUGUCACUUUACUCACAGAAAUGACACUACUUAAUGAAAACUUAGUAGUUGAGUAUGACCGUGAAGAAGAUAUUUUUCUGCUUAACGGUAACUUUCUUUUAGUUGUUUCCUUUCAAUGAAUUAUGGAGUAAACAUUAAAGCUGAUAUAAAUAUCCUCCUGCUUUAAGCUGCUUAUCUUCAAAAUCUACUUCUGGAACUGUGCUUUGUCACCAGAUGACUUAAGGUAAAAGCAGUCUAUAAAUUAAUAACCUACAUCAAUGUGAGAGGCAGCUACUUAAUGUUAAAUAAUGAAUGAGUCGAAGCCUUUUCAGGUUGGUAGUUCAUGGUUAGGGAAAUAAAAAUAGUCAUGCAAUGUGAAAAGUGAACUUAUUUUAGGUGGUUCAAUAAUAUAAAUGGUAUAAAGGCUAUAGCAUUUGAUAUAAAAAUAUCAACAUUAAAUAUAUAUUACACGUAUUAUUUUUAAACUUUUCCAGCAAAAGAUACUUAAAUGUAUUGGUGUUGUGAAGGAAUUUUGAGUUUACUGAUUGCGGUGGUAAAAAGGUGUGUGUUCCAAAUCAUCCUCUUCUUGUUUGGUAUUAUUUGUUUAACCUUCUCACUAACACGACAUAUUAAGAUUGUUUGAAGAGGUUACAACUGAUAUCAUGAUUCUAAUUACCUUUAUAAUAACCCUGAGAUUUGGUUAAUACUAAAAUGAAUUUAAGCAAGCAUGUGUAAUAGGUUUUUCUAUAGAGCUCUCUUCCUAAAAACACAAGUGUUGGGGCUAAGAAACCCAUACCCCUAACUAAAGCCCUCAGAAGCAGCCUCAGAAACAAAAGUUUUUCUCUGACUUCGUCCUGCCAUCCUGUCUCUGGCCUCUCAUUCUCUCCCAAGACUAGCCAUAGAAAGUAGAAUUCCUCUUCCCCAAGGCAGACCCCCUUUUCCCCAAAGCCAGCUUUAAAGCCUAAAAAUAUUACUCUAACUCUCCCCCCCUACACCCCCACCUUUCUGUGUAAAAACUAGCCAUAAAGACAUUAUUUGAUCUACCUUAUUUGAUUGUAGCUCAUAAGACCUCUCAUUCCAGAGGGAUCCUGUCCCAUACCCAGGAGGAAGGAGUGCAUGCUCAGAGAGGCCAAGAAGAAUCUGGACAGAAGAUCUUGCUGGGUUUCCCCACUCAGUCUGUUAGUACUAGA